rnacentral:miRNA from 1 species
UUUGUUUGUUGUGUGUUUCG